GAUCCUGGCUCAGGACGAACGCUGGCGGCGUGCCUAAUACAUGCAAGUAGAACGCUGAAGGAGGAGCUUGCUCUUCUGGAAGAGUUGCGAACGGGUGAGUAACGCGUAGGUAACCUGCCUGGUAGCGGGGGAUAACUAUUGGAAACGAUAGCUAAUACCGCAUAAUAUUGAAUAUCGCAUGAUAAUUGAUUAAAAGAUGCAAUUGCAUCACUACCAGAUGGACCUGCGUUG
rnacentral:rRNA from 1 species